rnacentral:lncRNA from 1 species
GUCUUCCUCUCGUUCUCCUUUCAUCUGCUGUUGCAACGUCGUUUAGUUUGAUAAUUCGAGAUGGCUGUACCGGUUUCUGCAAUUGGAUUCGAAGGAUAUGAAAAGAGGCUCGAGGUCUGUUUCUUCGAGCCCGGACUGUUUGCUGACCCUAAAGGCAUGGGCCUCCGCUCAUUGUCAAGAGCUCAAAUCAACGAGAUUCUGAACCCAGCUGAGUGCACCAUUGUUUCAUCCCUGUUGAAUGAUGAUCUGGACUCGUAUGUCCUUUCGGAAUCUAGCCUUUUUGUGUACCCAUACAAGGUUAUCAUUAAAACUUGUGGGACAACAAAAUUGCUUCGCUCAAUUCCUGCCAUUCUUAAGUUGGCCGAGACCCUCUCACUCGCUGUGAGAUCUGUGAGGUACUCUCGUGGGAGCUUCAUAUUUCCUGGUGCUCAGCCUUCCCCGCAUCGUAGCUUCUCAGAGGAAGUAGCUGUCCUUGAUGGCCAUUUCAGCAAGCUUGGGUUGGCAAGCAGAGCCUACAUUAUGGGUAGCCCUGACAAUUCUCAGAAAUGGCAUGUUUACUCUGCCUCAGCUGAAUUGGCUAGUUUAUUCUGGGGAACACGCUCCUCAGGCCCUACCUACACUCUUGAGAUGUGCAUGACUGGCUUGGAUAGGAAGAAGGCAUCUGUGUUUUACAAGACAAAUGCUAGUUCAGCUGCCAUAAUGACUGAAGAUUCUGGCAUCAGGAAAAUUCUCCCGAAAUCUGAAAUAUGCGAUUUUGAGUUUGAUCCUUGCGGCUACUCUAUGAACUCUAUUGAAGGGGAUGCAGUUUCUACCAUUCAUGUGACACCUGAGGAUGGUUUCAGCUACGCUAGCUUUGAAACAGUGGGCUACAACUUCAAGGAUGUCAACUUGACUCGUCUCAUUGAGAGGGUUCUGGACUGUUUCAAACCAGCUGAGUUCUCUGUGUCUCUGCAUUCCACCAUUGCUGCCAGUGAAGAACUUGAGUUCCCUCUGGAAUUGAGCGGAUAUUGUUGCGGAUCAACAAGCUAUGAAGAGCUGGGUCUAGGAGGUGC